UACGUAGGUGGCAAGCGUUGUCCGGAUUUAUUGGGUUUAAAGGGUGCGUAGGCGGCUUGAUAAGUCAGUGGUGAAAGCCGAUCGCUUAACGAUCGAACUGCCAUUGAUACUACCAGGCUUGAGUAUAGAUGAGGUAGGCGGAAUUGACAGUGUAGCGGUGAAAUGCAUAGAUAUUGUCAAGAACACCAAUUGCGAAGGCAGCUUACUAAGUUAUAACUGACGCUGAGGCACGAAAGUGCGGGGAUCAAACAGG
rnacentral:rRNA from 1 species